UACGGAGGGUGCAAGCGUUAAUCGGAAUUACUGGGCGUAAAGCGUGCGUAGGCGGUUUGUUAAGUCCGCUGUGAAAUCCCCGAGCUCAACUUGGGAAUUGCAGUGGAUACUGGCAAGCUGGAGUAUGGUAGAGGAAGGUGGAAUUCCCGGUGUAGCAGUGAAAUGCGUAGAGAUCGGGAGGAACACCAGUGGCGAAGGCGGCCUUCUGGACCAAUACUGACGCUCAUGCACGAAAGCGUGGGGAGCAAACAGG
rnacentral:rRNA from 1 species